UACGGGGGGAGCAAGCGUUGUUCGGAUUUACUGGGCGUAAAGGGCGCGUAGGCGGUCGUGACAAGUCACUUGUGAAAUCUCCGGGCUCAACCCGGAACGGUCAAGUGAUACUGUCGGACUAGAGUACAGAAGGGGGCAACGUGGAAUUCUCGGGUGUAGCGGUGAAAUGCGCAGAUAUCAGGAGGAACACCGGUGGCGAAGGCGGGUCUCUGGGCCGAUACUGACGCUGGAGGAGCGAAAGCGUGGGGGAGCGAACAGG
rnacentral:rRNA from 1 species